GAAAAGGACAUGUGACAAGAACCUGGCUCUCAUGGGACUGCUUGCCAGGGGUGCCAGGACAGAGAUGGCAUUGUUCAGAGAAGAUUCAGGAAGCCAAACAUCCGGAGACAAGGGUGCGUGGUCCACUCACCCCACAGGCUGGAAGAGAACAUAUUUUUUUUCCCCACAGAUCAAUCUGUAUAUUUACUUCCAAAGGGCACUCGGAGGACUUCUGGAAUAUUUAUUCUCUUCGGUCUCGAUGGUGGCAUUACUGAUGGGCCAGGAAGGCGACAGGGGACUGCUCUUCUGGGGAUGCUUUAUCUGUGGUAGUCCUUGAGGAUGCCCUCUGCUUCUCCUUCCGGUUGGACCUGGGGCAUGGAGAGAGCUCUUAGCUGCAUCCUGAGACACCUUGCCCUGAACCACACUUGGACGCCAGCCUGGGCCCUUGGGUGUGAGUACGUGCCUUCUUGGCCCUCCUGUCACCGGGAUGUGGGUUCCAAAGGCACCACCACUUGUUACCCUUAUUCCUGAGGCUCAGCCCUAGAUGGUCACAUAGCAAUUAUCAGUCAAUAUUGACUGGAGAUGCAGAUGAAUGGUGAGUGAGAUACGGCCUUGGUUCUGCUCUAUGAAAACACUCAAUAUGUCAAAUUAACCUGGUGCUGUAUCUACAGCCACAUCACUUGAAGCAUUGAAGCAGGCCUCUGGCCUGGAUAGAACACAAUGCAAGCAGGGACGAGCCUAGUCACCUCCUGUACAAGAUAAAGACCAAGACAAGUGAGGGACCUGUUUAAGGUCAUCCAGACCAGGACACACACACACACACACACACACACACACACACACACAGCCUCGGGCUAUAGCAGAGCCUCUGGCUCCCUGCUGCUGGCACCACCUCAGUCCUGCCUUUAGAGUCAGCAUGUGUUUUGCUCCUAAUAUACCUUGGAAUUCAGGCUGGCCUUUCUCCCGAUGAGUUCUAAUUAGUGAGGUUGUACUAGAGCUACAAAACUGCAGCUAGCAGAGAAGUAGUCCUUGAAUUAACAAAGCUGGGACCUGUCAGUGCCUGCUGCCUUCACAACAGCAGCGUUGCCAGUACUGGCAGUGGGAUGUGUGUUGAAUUUGGGGGGUGCAUUUAAGUCCUCUCUGCUCUGCAUUAUUUUUGUGUGUGUGCCAGGGAUUGAACUCAGGACCUCGGGCUUGCGAGAUAGGCACAGUGCUGCUGAGCUAAAUCCCCGGCCCUCCCGCUCUGCCUUCUACCUCCGAGGCCCUGCCACUGACUGUGGUCUGCAGAAGCCCAGGGGCCAUUCCUGUUGAGCCUAUCAGGUUGUUAUUGUUGUUUUUAGCAAACAGCUGAUGCCUCAUGGAAAAUUUAGCACUUGCUUAUUCCUGUUCCAUUUAUCUUCUAGCAUGUACAUUUUUUUUCUUCUAUAUUAGCAGGGGCACUUCCUGGAAAACUAGAUCUCUGUCACUUAGUGGCUUCACGUGUCCCUUCUGUUCCCAGAGUCAGAAUCAUAUGACAGAACAAUUGGUUGCUAUGGAAAUGACUGGACCACCCCAGGCAUCAGCCUGUGCCUGAGAGAAAGGAGAAGCUGUGUUCAUGGGGCGGGGCGUGGCAGGGCUGCAGGGAUCCUGAGCCUCAGACCAGCCACGGACUUCACUCAGCCUGUUUGGUCCUCAGUCUGCCCCUCUUCCUACUCACAGCUAUGUGUGUGUGAGACUUCACUUACCAACAGCCCUGCUAACACCUAACCCAUACAGAAAGCCCCCCCUGGCUUCUCUGCAUCCAAGUCCAAGUUAAAGAUCACUUCUUCAAUUUCAAUGGUUAAUCAUGCCUGGUCAACCCCUUUGCCAACCAAAAACCCUCCUAUUCCUAGUGAGUCUGUGCUUAAUUCAAUUGCUCACUUGCUUUGCUCCUCCUUGUUCUUUUUUCCUGUGUUACAGGCAGUACCCAGCCCUAGGAGCACAUCUGGGCUGGCUGGCUGUGUCUUCCCACAGAGCCCAAGCCAAGCUUGCCUGAGCACAGGUGCCCGAUACAUGCAGCUGGCUGACACUGAAAGCAAUGGGUGGAUCACCCCUUGGUCUGUGCAGUGAGAUCCACUCAGUCCUCCUUCAAGAGAAACAAUAAGCCUGGAGCAACAGUCAAAUUGGACAGCUCUGGGUCUAAUUUUGGACAUUGGUGCUGGAAUGAGUUUUAAGGCCCACCUGCCAGGAGGCCUCCCCCAUACAUCUCUCUACCCUGCAGAGUUCUCCUUCAGUGAGCAUUUUUGUCAACGUUGCUUGUAUUUUGGGAUAGUUCAGACCCUCACACGGUUUCACAGGCCCAUGGUUCAGUGAGAUUUUCGGAGACAACAGGAGCUCACCCACACAUGGAUUCCCCAGCGGAACCUCAGGGACCAGUGAGAGGCACGACUGGAGGCCUGAUGGACAAGGAGGUGGUCCCUGCCGCCACCCUUCAACUGGGGCAGCUCCGCUUGCUGUUACGACUGCCGUAGCCUCUUCUUUGGUUUCCCAGCUUCUGCCCUGGUCAACCCCCACCCCAAGCCCCCAUUUUCCAUCCAGUGUCUACAAUGAUUAUUUAAAAACAAUAGGGCCAGUCAUGUCACUCUUCUGCUCAGGACCCUAUGUGGGGUUCCCAUUGCAUUCGGUGACGUCUGCAGGCCCCACUGCUUCAGCCUGCAGCCUCAUCUUCAGCAUGCUGGCCUCCUCCACAUCUCAGCCAUACCCGACAGGCUCUUGGCUAACAGCUGGGCACUUCCUGUCCCUCUGCCCAAAGCACUCUUCACGGAUACCUCCGUCAUUCUGACCAUCCUAUCAAACGGCUGCCUGUUCCAUCAGCCCCGGGCCCCUCACUCUCCUCCGUGACUGUCUUCCCUAGCAGAGUACGAGCUCCCCCAGGUGAGGACUUUGCUUUAUUUGGGGCUGGAACCCCAGCACCAAGAACAGUGCCUGGCAGGUAGUAGACAUUCAGUGAAUAAUUAUCUUCGGAAUUACUCAGAUUGGUUUUGAGUCUAAAAAUUAGUCUGUACCUUUUCUUCUUUCCACAUUUCUGUCUUUUAAAAAACUUCCUGUAGUAAAUACGUAUUAUUUUCAGAGUCACAGCGAGCAGUAAAUGACAGUCUUUCCUCCAGGGCUGUUCUUUGGGAAGUCAUUGUUUGAGAGAAUGAUUUAAGAUAAAGGGAGGCCCUGCCCAAAGCCCUCUUGGGUCGAGCUGGCACUGGGUCUGUUCUGACUCCUUGUGCUAUAAUAAUACUGGGAAGCCCCCCCGGCUGCUCCUGGUGGUUGGGGGAAGCAGCGGGACUAAGCAGCCCUGCUUACCGGCCAGGCCCACACGCACCCGGCCCAGCCGGGGCUCACAGACACUCCCAAGCCUAAGCUCCCAGGCACCCCCACCUGGGCUCUGCUGCCCGGGCCAUUAUCUAACUGGCACAACCGGCUCUCCUCAGUCAGGGUGCCUCUUCCUGCUCUUUGGGGAUUGCUGCUCUGGGGCCAGGGACCUGAUGACUCUGCUGUUUGUGUGACUGGAUCCAAAACAAAGAAGUAUCUUGGCUCUGGGAGCAGGCUCUGGAUAUUGGAGUUCAGAGAAGCCCAAAGUGCUGGGCGGAAGCACAGUCCCACGUCCUGGAACAGUGUGGCACAGGAAAGCCCUCUCGCUGGACUAUCGGCGCAUUUUCCGAGGCAGACUGAUAUCUUUCUGAAACUCAGAAAAGAGAGAGACAACUAAAAGAGAGCGAGGAGGCCAAAUUUCCCCUCCCUCCUCCAGCCCCAGGGCUCUGCCAGGAGAAUUAUAAGGAGCCCGAGACCCUGCUGGAUGGGUCCUGGGGUCCUCUGGCUCCUACAUGCCUUAUUUUGACCCACAAGUCAGGUUCCAAGAAUUCAGGAACAGAGCUGUAUUCGGAGCCAAGGCUUUCCCAAGAUGCGCCACCCUGGUGUGCUGCCGGCUCCUAUAAAGAGCCAGACGGUAAACACUGUGGGCUUGUGAGCCACAUACAGCCUGGUCUCUGUCACCUAUUCUUUGGUGCUUUUUUUUUAACCGUUUAGAAACAUGAAAACGAUUCUUAGCUCUGAGGCCUUCCGAAGCAGGCUGUUAGAGGCAGCAAAGCACAGCCCCUUAGCCCAAAUCCAGCCCAUGGCCGCUUUUUGUAAAAUAAACCUUAAUUGAAACAUAGACACAUUAAUCUGCUUAUGUAUGAGCAGUUGAGACUGAGACUAUAAGGCCAAUAAAGCCAAAAGUAUUCACCAGCUGGCUCUUUAUAGAAAACAAAUUUGUCAAGCCCUGCUGCAAAGUAUAAUGCAAACAACUCACAGGUAUUCCAAUGAUCAGUGUUUCACAGGCAUUCAUUUCCAUUUCAGAUUGGAAACCUUCUCUGAGGUUAGUAGUAGCCCUUUUACAUAUGAGGAGACAUCCAGAAAAGUGAAGGUGCGGUGGCGUACACCUGUGGUCCCAGCACCCUGGGAGGGCUGAGGCAGGAGGAAUCUGAGUUCAAGUCCAGCCCAGGCCCCUUAGCAACUGAGUGCGACCCUGUCUCUAAAUAGAAAAUCUAAAAAGAGCCAGGAUGUCGCCUAGCAAAAAGACCCUAGGUUCAAUCCCUAGUACCAGAAAAAAGGGGGAAAAGAGAAAGGUUUGCCCAAGGCUGCACAGCUAGUGAGUGGCAGAAUCAGAGCCCAGGCCCCGACCUCCAACCUCUGUGACCAGAUGACCCUGCUCCUGAAACAGGGCUGCCCUGACGUCCAGAAUGUAUUUCCUGUUGGACUCCAUGAGGAGAGGCGGCAGCAGCUGCCUGGAUGGCAGGUCUGAGAGAAGCACAGAAAGCAACUGGCCUAAUAUUGGACAGAAACUCAAGCUUCUCCUGAAAUCCUGCUGCACGGGGAACAUCACCCAGGGCUUUUGGUGCACAGGAGAGAAGGCUGGCUGGCUCAUGUAACAGCUAGUCACGUCUCUGCGAAGAGCCACCAAGCUGCAGCAGUCUUCCCAAAGAGGCCUGCACUCGCCUCGCUGUAGCAGAGUCCCAGGGCUGCCAUUUCCGCUAGAACCCAGGAGGUGGUGCCAUGAUUUGUAUGAGAGAGACCCCCAAUGGACAUUGCUGGUAUUGCCAUUCCUAAGAGCAGCUCUGUGAACAAACAGCCUCAGGCUCCCAGGGGAACCCAGAGCCUGGGGUGUUCAAAGCUGUCACUGUCUUUGCAUAGCUGCCCCAGUACAGAAAGCUACGCGAGUGUCCUCCGCUUCAAAACUCGCCCUGAGUGACGCUGCUGCGUGCAUGUUGCUGCCGUGUCACAGGUCCCACUUGGAUGGCUCCUUUGGACUCCGCUUUUUGGACUUUCUGGCACUUUCAGAGUCCUGCUGCGGGGCAGAUCUGACCUCCCAUAACAGCUUGGCCUCUGUGGAUCUUUAUUUUCAUUGCCUUCGGUUCAGCUUCACCCUGGGCAGUUGUGUUCCACAGUGUAGUCACUUUGAGUUGUUAUUACCUGUGGGAUUUUAGUUUUUGAAUUAGACACCAAUAUUAUAAAUUAGGACCCUCAGUUCAAUCCCCGGUACCAAAAAAUUAAAAUUAAAAAAAAUAAAUUA